CCUAUUAAGUUUAGGAGAUCAAAAUCUUUAUAAAUACCCAUAUAUUAUAUGUGUUUCAGUUUUGGAGAAUUCAAUUAAUAAAUUUCCAGCAAAGAAUUUCUCUCAAUUUUUCAUUCGUAUAUGAGUGUGCUAUAUUUCUAAACUUCACGCUGCUCAGGUGGUAUCAGAGUGCAAAAAUCACCCAAAUCGAGAUGGCUUACCUUGAUGGAGGUGGCGAUUAUAGUGGUGAUCGGAGAACUAGAGCCCUUCACCAUAGGGAUGAAUUGUUGCAACGAUGGGAGCGACGUUCGGAGCAAUAGAUGGAUCUCAGAUUCGAGCGUGUCAAGAGAUGCCUCGAAGCAAUUGUAGGUCGUUUGGGUGCUUUGUGAACUAAAACAAACAAGAAUUGUGUUGACAAAAGAAGGCCAGGAAAUGGUGUAGCUAGUGGUGACCCUAUUUAUCAAUCAAUUUCUGUAAAUAGGCAAAAUGUCUACUAUAAUGAUUCAGAGGAGGAAUCAAUCAAGUUCAAUAGGCAU
rnacentral:misc_RNA from 1 species